rnacentral:rRNA from 1 species
UGGGGAAUAUUGCACAAUGGGCGCAAGCCUGAUGCAGCCAUGCCGCGUGUAUGAAGAAGGCCUUCGGGUUGUAAAGUACUUUCAGCGGGGAGGAAGGUGUUGAGGUUAAUAACCUCAGCAAUUGACGUUACCCGCAGAAGAAGCACCGGCUAACUCCGUGCCAGCAGCCGCGGUAAUACGGAGGGUGCAAGCGUUAAUCGGAAUUACUGGGCGUAAAGCGCACGCAGGCGGUCUGUCAAGUCGGAGGUGAAAUCCCCGGGCUCAACCUGGGAACUGCAUUCGAAACUGGCAGGCUAGAGUCUUGUAGAGGGGGGUAGAAUUCCAGGUGUAGCGGUGAAAUGCGUAGAGAUCUGGAGGAAUACCGGUGGCGAAGGCGGCCCCCUGGACAAAGACUGACGCUCAGGUGCGAAAGCGUGGGGAGCAAACA